rnacentral:rRNA from 1 species
GACGAACGCUGGCGGCGUGCUUAACACAUGCAAGUCGAACGAGUGGCGAACGGGUGAGUAACACGGGGGUGAUCUGCCUUGCAAUUCGGGAUAAGCUUGGGAAACUGGGUCUAAUACCGGAUAGUGCAAGCUGAGCUCGCGGCCUCUCAGCUUGUUGGGUGGGUAAUGGCUACAAAGGCGCGACGGGUAGCCGGCCUGAGAGGGUGUACGGCCACAUUGGGACUGAGUUACGGCCCGGACUCCUACGGGAGGCAGCAGUGGGGAAUAUGGCACAAUGGGCGCAAGCCUUAUGCAGCCAUGCCGCGUGUAUGAAGAAGGCCCUAGGGUUGUAAAGUACUGUCAGUCGGGAGGCGUCACCGACAGAAGAAGCACCGGCUAACUCCGUGCCAGCAGCCGCGGUAAUAC